UCUACAAGGCCUGGCUGUGCUCCGAGUAUUUCAACGUGACACAACAACAGUGCCGACACCGGAUCCCAUGCAAGCAAUACUGCCUGGAGGUGCAGACCAGGUGCCCAUUUGUGUUGCCGGACAAUGACGAGCUGAUCUAUGGAGGUUUGCCUGGCUUCAUCUGUACGGGGUUGCUAGAGAACCAGCUGCCCGACGAGGAGGCCAAGUGCUGCGAAGUGCAAUGGGACUCCUGUGACCGCCCACCAGACAGCAACUACAACACAUCCCCCAAAUCCACAGCGUCGGAGUCACUCCAUUACCACCGCCACGACCCUCACCUCCAUCACCAGCGGCAGAACCACUAUCACCUCUACCACCACCACCACUACCACCACCAGUACCGCCAGCCCCACCCGCCAUCUCUGCUGCCCGUCUCCGCAGGGUCUCGCCUCGGCAACAGCAGACUCAAACUGUGCAUCCUGGUCCUAAUGCUUCUCCACACCAUGGUGUCCUUCUCGAGUGUGCACAGCAGCAGCGGGGCGGCCGGUGGAGGGCUGAGCUUGGAGGCCCUGCCCGCCGUGGAUGAGAGCGUAACGCGAGACGAGUGACACGGAGGGGAAAGGAGGUCUCCAAGAAGAAUGCCAGAUCUUUUUCCACUAAGGGGGGCACAUGCUAUUCCUCCAAUGGGAGGCACGGGAUUGGGGGUGACGCACACAUACACACCCCCACACAUACCCCCAAGAGCUGCUCGCCGCGGGGCAUCCCCGUGAUGAAGAGUCUCUAAUGCGCACAGGGCUGCGGGACUCGGCUUUGAGAAGGGUUCGGUCAGAAGCAGCCCGGCAGCUCCGCACGUCCAGCCUCGUAGAGGUGCUGGGCACCGGCGCGAGAAGGUACAGCAAAGGGGCAGGGAGAACGGAGGGGGUCCCUUCGCAAGAGGUCUCCCCGAUGGGAUUGCCGCAGAUCUCCCAGCUGCCUGCCAGGGGUGCCAUGUGGCACCCACCUUACCUGCCACCUAAAUGCCAAGAGUUUAAAAAUCAGCCUAACCCCAAUUUCUUUCCUCCUCUGUGUCUAAAGCCCAGCACCCUGCAUUCGCCAGUUGCCAGGCAGGGCGCGGAAGCAGCACCUCUCUCCAAAUCCUUGCCUCUCUCCUAUCUGGGGGAAAAAAAAAAAAGGCAACUCAAAGGCAGUCCCUGUCUUUCGUGGAAGAGUGCAGAUCCUUCAGCAUGGCAUUCCUGACCAGACAGCCCGGCCCAGGCUUAUGCUUUUGCUGAGAGGAGUUGUGGUAUAGGAAUGGGAAAGUGUUAUGCUACGCUCUCUGUCCUGCGCAGGGUUCGUCUCGGUCAGGUCUUUACCUCCUUCCUCCAGCUUGGCUCUCCCACUCUUCUCUGGUACAGGGAGGUGGAGAGGGAGAGAGGAUGGGGUGGAGCAGGCAAAGAUGUUCCCAGGGUUCCUGAUGUUCCACUUUGCAAUGUAGCCUGAUGAUUUCCUUUAACCCUUUUUGUUUUCUUUUUUGCUGUCUUUCCUCAUGGGAAGGGUUUGUCUCAGAGGAGUUAGGGAGAUGUGACUCUAGUGGUGCACAGGCUAAGCUGAGGGAGACUUCAAGUUUGUAGCUGGCUCAAGAAUAAUAACAAUUGGAUAAAAGGCUUCAAAAGGCAUCUUUCCAUGCUUCUUGGCUACAAUUCAUGUAGGAGAUGGCAUAAGGACUGAGCAGAAGGACUGGAGAAAUCCAGCUUGUGAUCUAGUGUCUCCCACACAGAGAACAGGCGAUAAUGAACCCCAGCUGGAGAGGAGAGUAUUUAUGAGUACUUUUUAUCAAGAGCUACUUCCCUGAUCAAAAAAUUUAUAGGAGUCCUGCUGAGACAGCUGGACUCAGAUGGGCAAGGUGCUGUCUGGUGCAGCCUAAAUUGACUCACUUUUUUUGAGCUCAGUUUAUCCAGAUAUUCAGCCUCAAACAGGUAUGAGAUCCCGACUCUAAUAUGGGACUUCCAAAUCCUCCAUCCACCCACUAGGAACUAUACUCAGAAUAAAUGUUGGAAGGUGGCGUGUGGGAUACUUCACUGUGCAUCCUGCUGCGGACAGGUAAUCUUCUCGUGGGGCCUGUUUUCAAGGCUGUUUCUCUCAGUUGCUCGUUAUUGUACUGUGCCAAGUUGGUACAAUCUAGCAAGAAUGAAUGAUACUGUGAGAGGCCAGGAUGGAAACAGGAAAAUGAACUAAACUGGGAAUGAAGAAAGAACUGAGGAUCAGAUAUUAGAGAAAAGAAAGUUCAUUCUGGAUAUGGGGUGAGGGAAAAGAUGAAUAUGUGUUUUAACCCUGUGGUAGUGGUGUGAGGUGAGGUACAUGGAGAUGGGGAAGCAGGUUGCAGUCAGCUGCAAAAUGUCUAAAUCACAGUAUGGAUGUAAACCUGGUCAUUUCCUGUAGAGGAGAAAGUGUGACUCUUCUUCUACUUCUAGACUGCCUCUUCACAGAUCCCCUACAGCAGAGCACAGAUUGGCCUUUUUGUGGUCCUGCUGGUAGGCAGGGGCCAAGCAAAGAGGAAUAUUUUGCUGCAUCUCAAACCAAUCCCAGAUCCCUGUGAGGGUCAAAAAAGUCGCAAAGUUCAGGACUGAAAAUGUUUCGUGUUUUCUGGUCUGUUGAGGUGAAGCAAAAAUGAGCAAAGCACCAUGAGAAAAGCUACUUCCUACCUGGCUGGAAGGGAAGUACCAGGACUCUCAUGGGGAAGACUGGUUUCCUGAAACUUCCAGCCCAUUUCCAGACCAAAGAUGCUCUGAAAAGCAGCUGAAUGUUUGACUUCUGCUUUGACUUGAAUCUCAGAGCUUUGGGGUGAUGUUUACACGUUAUCAGUUACAUGUUACCAAAGUCCUGCCAAUACAAAGCCUGUGAACUCAUUGUCCAUUGGUCAUCAGGCACUAUGUGGUAAGGUUAAUAUAACUAGUUUUCAGAGAAGAUGCAGAGAGUGUUUCCCAAGCAGAUUUUAUUGCUGUUCCUAACUGGAACAGGUAGGACUGUUCUUGUUUGAAUAUUCAUAACAGCAUCCAUAUAUUUUCGGUCUAGUUUACACAGAUCUGAGAACCAGUACAUGCAACAGUUUAGCAAAUAGGAAUCUGACUUUUUUUGUUUGCUCUGUUGCUAAAGUGUAGCUGCUUUGAUGAGUAGCAAAAGCAUACAGCUAGACCAAAGGAGGUAGCACAGUCAUGUUCCUGUCUCAAGACAACCAGAUCCAGUCCAUUCUUAAGGAAAUUGGAUUUUUCAUGUACUGCCAAGAGUUAAGCUGAUUCCAGGCAUCAGAGAUAGGCUGAAUCCAAUCUUUAAGCAACUCAUGUAGAGAGAGAGGAAUAGCCCAGUGUGAUGCGUCAGCAAGUGGCCCUGAGUCACUGGCCCUGUUCAUUGUCUGCUGUGGAGUCUGCUCCGAUGAGACAGCGCAGGACCCAGAACCUGCUCUGCCGCAGGUAGCAUGGCACUGUGGCCUCUCUGUUUUGCCCCACGUGUGUGCAAGCCAUAUCAUAUGAAUCCUGUAAGUGCGAAUCUGAGCCUUGAGGGGCAAGAGUCAUUGUGUCCACCCUGAAGCUCUCUUGCGCUGCCAGAGACCAGAGCAAUGUACACAUGUAUUAGCAUAAAUAAGAGUCUGGACUUGUAUGGUCUCCUAUGACACUGAAUGUGAUGGCACAAGGAGUUUCUGUGCCAGCAUAUGUACUAUGUGAUGUCAAGAGAUGAAUGAAUGCUGCAGAGCUUGAAGGAAUGAAGUCAAAUAACCCAGGCGUGUGCACCAAAAGGAGCUCAGGAAGGUUGGCCUAGUUUUGCUGGAAUAACCUGAGAGCUAUGAGAAAUGUCUUUACCAUACCUAAUAUCAGAUGAUGAGCUUCAUCUCAGGAGGCAGGGAUCCCUCACUACAUCCCAGUGAAUGAUCUGAAAGCUGAACAGUUCCAAAGAUUGGGUCUUUAGUAUAAUUACUGAGACGGUGUGGUUGCAUCAGCCUAAUCAGCUGAACACGAUACAGGUACACAGUACACAAGGAAGCUUUGCAGGGCAGUUCUACUCUAACUAAAGGAGAUCCAAACGUUUUCCAAGCUGCAGCUUUCCACAAGGUACACACAUAAGAAUCACUCACUGUAUCAGUGUGAAGGGCACCCUGUCUCCUGGCACAGAGGGUAAUGCGAAUGCGCACGGUAUGGAGGCUCGCUGGCAGACACAGGCCUGUGUUUUUUACCUAGUGUGACUGGGAGGAAAGUGCUGAGUCUUCACAGAGCAAGGGUUUUGGAAGGAGCUCUUUUAUUUAGCAAGUCUAGGCUGCUGUCAAUAAGUUCUGUGGUUUUAGGGCACCAUAUGCUGUAUUCAACACUUUGCCAAUCUAGUUAAAUGAAUCCAGACUAAGCUGUUCACAGAAUAGGACUGAGCAGCUGGAAGCGGUGUAUGUUGCAGUCCGUCAUUAAAAGGCCAUCGGAUAAAAAUCUUCUCUCUGAUCUGACAUUACAACCUUAAUAAUCUUCUAUUUAUAUUAGCUCCUCUUUGCUGUACAAGGGAAAAGUCCAGAAAGGAGACUUUAACAUGGUCUCAGUUAAUAUCAUUGACAUUAUUUUUAUUAAAACAAUGCUGCUGUUAGCCCUGGAGUGAAUUAGCCCCUGGGAUAAGGAGAGAAAAGAGAGCAUGUUUGCACAGUGCAUGCAGGUACACUUCCCAAUCCACUCCCCAUCGCGCCCCCAGUGCAAACGUGGACACCAGAACCUGGAGCCCUUUCUAGAGCAGCUCUUGGUGCAGCCACCUGGGACCUUGGAAAAUACCAAGCCCAAAAGGAUUUAUUCCACAGCGAUAACCUAAAGCCCAGCUGCUGAUUCCUUUCUUUUUCAGUUGAAUGAUCUGGAUUCUUCUCCCCAGAGAAAGACGCCAUGCAUAAAGAUUGGUUUGUAAAAUCAAAAGUUCCCUUUACUGACUAGAUUUCUCCUCACUGAGAGAAAACCCCCCUUCCCAGAGCAGUGUUUCCUCACGGUCCUUCUGGAGCAAGCAGACCCUGGGCGGCGUGUCCAAGGAGUGGGGGGAGCUGGUAGAGAUGGUGCUGGCUUUGAUGCUGUCACCUUGCAGCAGAUCACAAGCCCCUUUGCUGGGCGCGUUCCCGUUGCUUGGCCGUCGUGCCGUUGGCCGGGUUGCUAGUUGUAUGCGAGAGGAGGCAGCCACAGCUGCAUCCGCGGGGAAUCCAGGCCUCGGCUCUGCCGCUAAAGCUGCGAGAGGAAAGGUAGCCAUGUUCUGCCUGGAGUGUUAGUCUUGUGUUUUGCACUUUAGUGUUACGGCCAGUUGUACAAAUUAAUGAAAAAUAACUGAAGAAAAAUCCCAAAGAAAGGCCCUGCUUCCUCUGGUGAAGAUUAAUCAUUAGUUGAGCCUUUUUCUUAUGAAAAUAGAGAUCCAUGCUAGCCCCAGGCAAAAGAUUCCCAGGGAGAGCCCUCACCAUUCGUGCUCUGAGUUAGGGAAAUCACUUUGAAAGCAUCUGACAGCUAAAGCAGAACAUGUUGAGUAACUUGGCAACACUCAGAAAACAUCUUGAAAUGGUUUUUGUUCAACACAUUUUGCUCUGCUUCAAUAGGAGAUGUCAGGGCAGUUCAUUCACUGCCACUCAGGACUCCAGGCAUUGCUGGGAGACAGUUCAUUUGCCCCACGUUUUUUUUUUUGGGGGGGGGAGGGAGGAGGGGAGAAAGCAAGAAAAUUUGAUAUCUGCUAAUCCCAAGGAAGGAUCCCCAUCAGCAGUGUGAUAGCACUUCCCAAAUUUUGUAUGCGUCUUCUGACAAGCAUGGUCUACUUGUGCUGCAUUUGAAUUGGAGAUUGGUGAUUUACAGCAAAGGAGUGUGGCUGUUGGUGGAAUACUGUAUCGUGAAUCCUACUGGGAGUGGUCACUAGUUUGUGUUCAGACUUUUCCUUUAAGUCUCUACCCUCAAAAAGUCAUGCAGCAGCUUGUAAUAAAUUAUAAUAUGAUACCUAGCUACCACCCUGGAAAGGAAUGCAUAUAGAAAUUAAUAGAGACAAAUUCAGGGGAGUUGUACAGAAAUAUACUCAGAUUUUUUGGAAAUCACUAUAAAAAUCUAAGCAAUAUGUCAGACAAUUUUUUAUAGCCUUUUUGGGCUGCCUUGUGGAUUUCUGUCCACAGGAGUAUAAAUCUCUAUUAAGUCAUAUUUGAAAGGUUAGGGAGGGCAAUUUCUAAUGUUUAGCCAAGAUGUUAAUAACAACUUACUUUAGCCUAUCAAACAAAGUCAGUUCUUAAGCAUUCCAGUGGGAUAAUAGAGGUACCUAAAUUACUCAAACCCGUGAUUACCCGUUCUCCCCCUCAGGCAAACUUUUGAGUAGAGCUCCCAGGCAGUGGCAGGUCUGUAGGAGCUCUGAAAGGUCCAUCUUUUCCCAGGCUCAAGAAUUGGUUAUUCUGUAUUUCAGGGGAGCAGCUUUUUAGCAGCUCUUUUUGUUCUCAGUCCUAUGUGGCUCUCUGGAUGAAUAUUUUCAUUCCUGUACUCUGCUGGAGGAUGGAGGUAGAGGAAGGCAGGAACGCUGCUUGCCGUUACGGUUAGAAACACUGUGAAGUUCAGCUGUGCAGGCCUGUAUGCUGAUGGCCUGUAACAGUAGUGGAGAUUUGUUUAGUGAAGAGUUGUUAUUUAAAGGCUUAAUAUUGGGAAUGGGUAUUAAAGUGCGAAAGGGGUGACUGGAAGCUCUGUAGCCACGUAGAGGAUGCUGUGUGGCUGCACUCUGAUGGACUUUGUGUCACAGUGCAAGAAGCAGCCACAGGUUUUGUAGCUGUCCACCAAAGCAGCGGUGUCGCUGCAAGCUCUCUCCAUUCACUCACCCCACGAUCAUCCUGCUCUAUUUGUACCCUGAGCAGGAGUGAAGAAUCAGGACCUGAAUGCUGAAAAUUCAGGCAUUUUAUACCAUUCCUACAGCUCCAAACCACAAGUCCCACCGAGAGGCAGUGGCCUCUCUAAACGUGUAGCUGAUGUAGCCAGCACUGACCCUGCUAUCCCAAGGCUGAAUGAAAAGGAGAGGCCUUCAAAACCUGGAAUUGCUCUGCCAUCUGAGGGCUUGCUACUGGCUGAGUCUCAGGUGCAUCUGACCACACUUGCUCUGGCCUUUUGAAGUUUGGAUUUUGUAGGCUAUGUAGCUGUCUCCUCCCAGCGCAGGUUGUCACGUCACUACCGGACACCGGUCUUGUUGGGUGGGGAGUGCUGGACAUAAGUGAAGGAGAAGUUUCACUGCUGAGCCAGAUCACACAGCGCUGCACUGAGACCCUGCGAGGCAGGUCACAGGCCUUCAAGAUGUCGCUGGAUUAGAUCUGGCGCAGUUCUCAAAGGGACCUUCAGCUCUGCUCUUCCGAGCUCCCUUCUGGGAUGAAGGGAGCACAGGAAAUAUUGUGGCCAUAUGUGAAGGAUAAAUCAUUUUCAAAUAGGGACACUAAAAAAAAUGAUUCCUUUUAAAAGUUGCUGGGUUUUUAGUUUCUCUAUGUGCCUAACCUGCUCCACUGCACAUCUCCUAACAACAUGUGUAGGCAGGAUGUACAAACCGUGUGUCAAACUCCCUGAGCCAGGACCGCUGCUGGUAUUCCCUUUAGGAGAAAGCAGAAACAUUGUGGUGUGCGUUGCUCUGGGAUUUCUUUAAGUCGUUAGCACAUAAAGUGUAGCAAAUGUUCCAUAGGGUCCCCAGGGAGGAAACGCAAGGGGAGUAGCUGGGUCCUCUGGCUUCUUCAAAACGCAAGCAUGUCUCUCCAUAGCUCUUGCUAGGCUAGGCGGUAGCAGCUGUGCAAGGAAAUAGUCACACUGUAGGUUUUUUCCAAAAUCCAGUAGCUAUAUUUCCUUCUCUUUUUCUUUUUUUUUUUUUUUGGUACUUUAUGAGCAUCUCUUGCAGCUUUUUCCCUGGAUAUCCCAAUUAACUUCAUCCUAUGCAUCCCAACCUCGGGAACAAAGUACCAGUCGUACUGCAAAUCAGUCCUGUAGGACACAGACACCACCUGACCAGGUGCCUGUGCCAUGUAUGUGGCAGAGCUCAGCUGCAAGGAAUCUCCUAGCCUCACUGAAGAUGCUGCUCUCAGCUCGGGUGCCCUCCCUUUUUGCCAAAUCUCAGCAUAAGCUCUCUUACUGCCUGUAAGACUUGCUGCUCACAGACAGGAGAUGGGCUGAAUUACUAAAUAACACCUCCAGCUUAGUUUUAUUUAGUGUAUAUCUAGUUUAUUUAUUUGAAACAAGGUCAGGAGCGGCUUCCUGUCUCCUUAACAUUUGGAACUGUGGAUUUUUAUUAUGAUCCUUUUUCAGACCAGGAAGUCUACAGCUUUGCUUGUUGUAAACUGAAACUCCAAAACACACACACACAAAAGGGUUUGGCUUAAUAAAUUUGGGGGUGGUUUUACCAUUUUUAAAUGUAUUUAUUUGGGAACUGUAUGUGCCUGAGUUGCAAAACAAAAAGCCAUUUCAAGCCAGAUGUUUUUUUUUUUUAUUCUGAAACUUGUCAAAACAAGCCAUAUUGAUAAUUAUGACCAAUUUUUUUCAAAUUGAGAAAUGUAUCAGGAACAGCCCUUUCCCACAAAACUUUUCAUUUUCAAGAAAUAAAAUGAAAAAAUCAAUCACAGUUUUUCUCACAGUUGGAACUGGUGGCAGUGGAUUCUAACAGAAUAGCAAUUUGUAAGGCAUUCCAACCAGCUCUACUUAAAAUAGUAUCCAGCAUCCAAUUUCUUGGGGGCAGUAGGCUGAGCAGCUUUGUGGUGAAAGCAAAUUGGAGCGUUUCCUAUUUUACCAUGGCUGUUUCAGUCCGGCAGAGCACACCUCGGGAACUGCUUGUGCAUGUUCCUGACUGGCGGUUUGUUGCUGAGGUGUUGCCGUCUGGAAGCAUCACUUUUUCUUUAGGACCUCACUCAGUGCUGGAUGCCCCCAGCCAUCCUUCUAACCAAGCUCUGUUUUCUUUUCCAAACCAAGAUGAAUCCAACUUCUUCUAGCUUCCAGUACAUUCAGACAUCACAGUUAUGGGAAGCCUUCAAAUCCAGAGAUAUUCCCACAUGUUCACAGGAGUUUAAAUUGGAAGAAAUUAAAUGCAUUGGUGCAGGGA